rnacentral:piRNA from 1 species
UGCCAAGACCAACUAGAAGGAGCUCUUUC